rnacentral:rRNA from 1 species
CAAUAGCGUAUAUUAAAGUUGUUGCGGUUAAAAAGCUCGUAGUUGGAUUUCGGUUAAGAGCGACCGGUCCGCCGUUUGGUGUGCACUGGUUGGUUUUAACUUCCUGUAGAGGACGUGCUCUGGGUUUAACGACCUGGACUCGGAGUCUACGUGGUUACUUUGAAAAAAUUAGAGUGUUCAAAGCGGGCUUACGCUUGAAUAUUUCAGCAUGGAAUAACACUAUAGGACUCCUGUCCUAUUUCGUUGGUCUCGGGACGGGGGUAAUGAUUAAGAGGAACAGUUGGGGGCAUUCGUAUUUCAUUGUCAGAGGUGAAAUUCUUGGAUUUAUGAAAGACGAACUUCUGCGAAAGCAUUUGCCAAGGAUGUUUNCAUUA